rnacentral:SRP_RNA from 1 species
GCUGGGCAUAGUGGCAUGCACCUGUAGUCCCAGCUACUCAGGGGGCUGAGGCAGGGGGAUCACUUGAGCCCAGGAGUUCAAGGCUGCAGUGAGCUAUGAUGGUGCCACUGCAUUCUAGCCUGGGCAACAGAGUGAAACACUGUCUCUA